AAAGAUGGAACGGUGCUUCUCCAUUCUCAUCGUCGCCGGUGAUUCUGCUUCAUUAUCAUCUCUGCCUCUUCUGCGACGGCGUUUCCACUUUACUGCUACUGUAGUUUCCGGUCCCUGCAUGAUAAGAUGAACUGCUACUCUGCCGCAAGAACAGAUUCUUCCGUAAGAAAGGCUAAUUGGAGGGGAUCAAAAAGGACCUGAAGGGUCCAAUAGAAAAUUACAGCAGAAAAUGUUGAAGCUGUAGGUGAGGAAGCAAUAAGAACGAAAUGACAACGGUUAGGAGACUGCACGCGUGGGGGUGAGAUGCCUCUUGGUUAUUUUAAGCAAGGAACCGUUCACCAGCACAACUUGGGUAAGUGUUAACCGGGUACGAAUGUGGUUAUGGUUAAGCGUUGACUAAAAUGGUUCUCUAUCAAUUGUUUUAUAGCAUGUCUUACCGAUUAAAUACAUACCUUUAUCAUCUAGUGAUGACCUAGUAAGUGAAAUAAUAAUGUUGACGGGUAGUA